ACUCAAAGGAAUAGACGGGGGCCCGCACAAGCGGUGGAGCAUGUGGAUUAAUUCGAAGCAACGCGAAGAACCUUACCAAGGCUUGACAUGGAGUCCGCCGGUACAGAGAUGUAUCUUCCCCUUCGGGGGGGACUCACACAGGUGGUGCAUGGUUGUCGUCAGCUCGUGUCGUGAGAUGUUGGGUUAAGUCCCGCAACGAGCGCAACCCUUAUGUUUAGUAGCCAUCGGGUAAAGCCGGGCACACUAGAGAGACUGCCGUGGAGAACACGGAGGAAGGUGGGGACGACGUCAAAUCAUCAUGCCCCUUAUGUCUUGGGCUUCACACGUGCUACAAUGGCCGAAACAAAGUGAUGCAACGCCGCGAGGCAGAGCCAAUCACGAAAAACGGCCUCAGUUCGGAUUGUAGGCUGCAACUCGCCUGCAUGAAGUUGGAAUCGCUAGUAAUCGCGAAUCAGCAUGUCGCGGUGAAUACGUUCCCGGGCCUUGUACACACCGCCCGU
rnacentral:rRNA from 1 species